CUAUACUGCAGUCGUGCGGACCUUUUAGAGCUUGCUUUUAUACGUUAGCGGCGGACGGGUGAGUUCACGUGGGCAACCUGCCUGUAAGAUCGGGAUUCGCCCGGAAACCGGGGCUAAUACCGGAUAGUUUUUUCCUCCGCAUGGAAGAAAAAGGAAAGACGGCUUCUGCUGUCACUUACAGAUGGGCCCGCGGCGCAUUAGCUAGUUGGUGGGGUAACGGCUCACCAAGGCAACGAUGCGUAGCCGACCUGAGAGGGUGAUCGGCCACAUUGGGACUGAGACACGGCCCAAACUCCUACUGGAGGCAGCAGUAGGGAAUCUUCUUCAAUGGACGAAAGUCUGACGGAGCAACGCCGCGUGAGUGAAGAAGGCCUUCGGGUCGUAAAACUCUGUUGCCGGGGAAGAACAAGUGCCGUUCGAACAGGGCGGCGCCUUGACGGUACCCGGCCAGAAAGCCACGGCUAACUACGUGCCAGCAGCCGCGGUAAUACGUAGGUGGCAAGCGUUGUCCGGAAUUAUUGUGGCGUAAAGCGCGCGCAGGCGGCUUCUUAAGUCUGAUGUGAAAUCUUGCGGCUCAACCGCAAGCAGUCAUUGUGAAACUGUGGAGGCUUGAGUGCGCAAGAGGAGAGUGCAAAUUCUCACGUGUAUCGCGUGAAAAUGCGUAUAGAUGUGUGAGAAAACACCAGUGUGCGAAAGCGGCUCUCUGGUCUGUAACUGACGCUGAGACGCGCAAGCGUGUGGGAGCGAAACACGAUAAGAUACCCCUGUGUAGUCCACACCCGUAUAAGCAUGAGUGCUAUAAUGUGUUGAGGGGUUUUUCGCCCCUUUACUGCU
rnacentral:rRNA from 1 species